rnacentral:rRNA from 1 species
GUGUAGGAUAGGUGGGAGGCUUUGAAGCUGGAACGCUAGUUCCAGUGGAGCCGUCCUUGAAAUACCACCCUGGUAAUGUUGAGGUUCUAACUCUGUCCCGUGAUCCGGGACGAGGACCGUGUCUGGUGGGUAGUUUGACUGGGGCGGUCUCCUCCUAAAGAGUAACGGAGGAGUACGAAGGUGCGCUCAGCGUGGUCGGAAAUCACGCGUAGAGUAUAAAGGCAAAAGCGCGCUUAACUGCGAGACCCACAAGUCGAGCAGGUACGAAAGUAGGUCUUAGUGAUCCGGUGGUUCUGUAUGGAAGGGCCAUCGCUCAACGGAUAAAAGGUACUCUGGGGAUAACAGGCUGAUACCGCCCAAGAGUUCAUAUCGACGGCGGUGUUUGGCACCUCGAUGUCGGCUCAUCUCAUCCUGGGGCUGAAGCAGGUCCCAAGGGUAUGGCUGUUCGCCAUUUAAAGAGGUACGCGAGCUGGGUUUAGAACGUCGUGAGACAGUUCGGUCCCUAUCUACCGUGGGCGCUGGAAAUUUGAGAGGAUCUGCUCCUAGUACGAGAGGACCAGAGUGGACGAACCUCUGGUGUACCGGUUGUGACGCCAGUCGCAUCGCCGGGUAGCUAUGUUCGGAAGGGAUAACCGCUGAAAGCAUCUAAGCGGGAAGCCUACCUCAAGAUAAGAUUUCCCUAGGACUUUAUGUCCUCUAAAGAGCCGUUCGAGACUAGGACGUUGAUAGGUUGGAUGUGGAAGCAUAGUGAUAUGUGAAGCUGACCAAUACUAAUUGCUCGUGAGGCUUGACUAUACAACACCCAAGCAGUUG